rnacentral:rRNA from 1 species
ACGGAAGGCAGCAGUGGGGAAUAUUGGGCAAUGGGCGCAAGCCUGACCCAGCAACGCCGCGUGAAGGAUGAAGGUCUUCGGAUUGUAAACUUCUUUGAUUGGGGAAGAAUAAAUGACCUACCCAAAGAACAAGUCACGGCUAACUACGUGCCAGCAGCCGCGGUACUACGUAGGUGCCAAGCGUUAUCCGGAUUUACUGGGUGUAAAGGGCGUGUAGGCGGUUCUGUAAGUCAGAAGUGAAAUUCCUGAGCUCAACUCGGGCGCUGCUUCUGAAACUGCUAGACUUGAGUGCUGGAGGGGAUAGCGGAAUUCCUAGUGGAGCGGUAAAAUGCGCAGAUAUUAGGAAGAACACCGGUGGCGAAGGCGGCUAUCUGGACAGUAACUGACGCUGAGGCGCGAAAGCGUGGGGAGCAAACAGGAUUAGAUACCCUGGUA